GACGAACGCUGGCGGCGUGCCUAAUACAUGCAAGUCGAACGCAGUGGGGACGGGUGAGUAACACGUGGGUAACCUCCCAUCAGAGGGGAUAACACUUGGAAACAGGUGCUAAACCGAUACUGAUGGAUGGACCCGCGGUGCAUUAGCUAGUUGGUGAGGUAACGGCUCACCAAGGCCACGAUGCAUAGACGACGUGAGAGGGUGAUCUGCAACACUGGGACUUAGCCGCGGCCCAGGCUCCGACGGGAGGCAGCAGUAGGGAAUCUUCGGCAAUGGACGAAAGUCUGGCCGAGCAACGCCGCGUGAGUUAAGAAGGUUUUCGGAUCGUAAAACUCUGUUGUUAGAGAAGCGGUAUCUAACAAGAAAGCGACGGCUAACUACGUGCCAGCAGCCGCGGUAAUAC
rnacentral:rRNA from 1 species